rnacentral:rRNA from 1 species
GAUGAACGCUAGCGGCAGGCUUAAUACAUGCAAGUCGAGGGGGCAGCAAUGUCACCGGCGAACGGGUGCGUAACGCGUAUGCAACCUACCUACAUCAGGGGGAUAGCCCUAGGAAACUGGGAUUAACACCGCAUAACAUAUGACAAGGCAUCUUGUUAUAUUGAAAUAUUUAUAGGAUGUAGAUGGGCAUGCGUAGGAUUAGCUAGUUGGUAAGGUAACGGCUUACCAAGGCUACGAUCCUUAGGGGCUCUGAGAGGAGUAUCCCCCACACUGGCAGUGAGAUACGGGCCAGACUCCUACGGGGGGCAGCAGUAGGGAAUAUUGGGCAAUGGAGGCAACUCUGACCCAGCCAUGCCGCGUGCAGGAAGACGGUCCUCUGGAUUGUAAACUGCUUUUGAAUGGGAAGAAUGUGUGGCUUGCGAGCUAUAAUGACGGUACCAUUAGAAUAAGCCACGGCUAACUACGUGCCAGCCGCCGCGGUAA